UACGUAGGUGGCCAGCGUUGUCCGGAUUUACUGGGCGUAAAGAGCGCGCAGGCGGUCGUUCAAGUCGAGUGUGAAAGCCCCCGGCUCAACUGGGGAGGGUCACUCGAUACUGAUCGACUUGAAGGCAGGAGAGGGAAGCGGAAUUCCCGGUGUAGUGGUGAAAUGCGUAGAUAUCAGGAGGAACACCAAUGGCGAAGGCAGCUCGCUGGGACGUGACUGACGCUGAGACGCGAAAGCGUGGGGAGCAAACAGG
rnacentral:rRNA from 1 species